rnacentral:rRNA from 1 species
UACGAAGGGAGCUAGCGUUGUUCGGAAUCACCGGGCGUAAAGCGCACGUAGGCGGAUGUGUCAGUCAGGGGUGAAAUCCCGGAGCUCAACUUCGGAACUGCCUUUGAUACAGCACGUCUUGAGUCCGGAAGAGGUGGGUGGAAUUCCUAGUGUAGAGGUGAAAUUCGUAGAUAUUAGGAAGAACACCGGUGGCGAAGGCGGCCCACUGGUCCGGUACUGACGCUGAGGUGCGAAAGCGUGGGGAGCAAACAGGAU